UAUGUACCUACAAUGUAUACACGCCGUAUGGGCUUUGGUGCGUCUUAAUGAUCACGAGGAAACUGCUUAUGGAGAAGGCCUUGAAAUAUGGGCAGCAAAGUGGACCCGUAUUUCAUUGUGGAUACAAGCCAGGAGGCUAUGGCAAUGGUACCAUAUUGGAGAGUGGAGAAUGUGAGUGGUGUAAAAAUAAUUUUUGCAAUAGGCAAGACAAGCUGUGCCCCGAAACAGCGAAAAAGCUCCACAACUAGAACGGCAGGCAGCCAUAAAGUGUGUACAAGUGCAAGAGAAGGCGGAUUCAUAUUUCCAGAAUGAGGUGCAACCGGGUAUUAAGAAGGAUGAAAUUGGCUUAAGGCUGGCUGAAAGGUUUUGUUAGUGCCUUUUAAAUGUUGAUAGAUUUUUCAUUUUCAGAAGACCGUAACGGAUUAUAGCUUGGUGUUUGGGAACAUCCAUAAUACAGUGUUCAAUGGAGGAAAUUAAGUGCUGUCAAAUACUUAAUUGUAUAUGCUUUGUCGUGAUGUGGGUACCUAACGCCGGCCAAUUCUCGAUUUGGUCAGACUAAAUGAUGAAGCCUCUGCUGUUGGAAGGGAAGCCUCCCCCUCUGGGUCAGUUCACGGGGGUGGCGAUGUUGUUUACGGCAACCCUACAGAGACGGCAACCUCGCUUUUGUAAAAUUCUGGUUCAAAUGUCAGCUAAAUCGAAAAUAGCCAAAAAUUCCCAAGCUCUUGCCAAAUUUCUUAAUUUGGUUUGUAUUUUAAGACAAUUUCUUGUAUAAAUAGACCCUUCGGGCACUUACGGGUUAUUUCUCUUUGUGUAACUAAAAAAACAUGUGAGUUGUGUCUUGUAUAUUAUUAUAGCGUUUUUAUUGAUAUUUGUUAAAGUGUUAAAUUGUAAAUUUUGAAAAUGUUUAACUUUAUUGUUCUUGUGAAUAAACGCAUAUAAAUGUCUCACAUCAAUUCAAAAUAACAUCAGCACACACAUAAACCAAAUGUAAAAUCUUAAUUUAAACACAAAUCACUCGAAAUAAAUACAUCAAUAAAACCAGCAGUUUUUUCCAUAAUUUGAAACACAAA
rnacentral:sRNA from 1 species